rnacentral:rRNA from 1 species
CAGCCGCCGCGGUAAUACGAAGGGGGCUAGCGUUGUUCGGAUUUACCGGGCGUAAAGCGCACGUAGGCGGACUUUUAAGUCAGGGGUGAAAUCCCGGGGCUCAACCCCGGAACUGCCUUUGAUACUGGAAGUCUUGAGUAUGGUAGAGGUGAGUGGAAUUCCGAGUGUAGAGGUGAAAUUCGUAGAUAUUCGGAGGAACACCAGUGGCGAAGGCGGCUCACUAAACCAUUACUGACGCUGAGGUGCGAAAGCGUGGGGAGCAAACAGGAUUAGAUACCCCCGUAGUCCCUGUCUCUUAUAC